rnacentral:rRNA from 1 species
UACGUAGGUGGCAAGCGUUAUCCGGAUUUAUUGGGCGUAAAGAGAACGCAGGCGGUCUUUUAAGUCUGAUGUGAAAGCCUUCGGCUUAACCGGAGUAGUGCAUUGGAAACUGGGAGACUUGAGUACAGAAGAGGAGAGUGGAACUCCAUGUGUAGCGGUGAAAUGCGUAGAUAUAUGGAAGAACACCAGUGGCGAAAGCGGCUCUCUGGUCUGUAACUGACGCUGAGGUUCGAAAGCGUGGGUAGCAAACAGG